GGCCUCAGCUCAGUUGUACAGCAUCUGUCCUGCAAGCAGAAGGUUCCAGGUUCAAUUCCUGGCAUCUCCA